CCUACGGGCGGCAGCAGUGGGGAAUAUUGCACAAUGGGGGAAACCCUGAUGCAGCGACGCCGCGUGAGUGAAGAAGUAAUUCGGUAUGUAAAGCUCUAUCAGCAGGGAAGAAAAUGACGGUACCUGAGUAAGAAGCCCCGGCUAACUACGUGCCAGCAGCCGCGGUAAUACGUAGGGGGCAAGCGUUAUCCGGAUUUACUGGGUGUAAAGGGAGCGUAGACGGCAGUGCAAGUCUGGAGUGAAAGGCGGGGGCUCAACCCCCGGAAUGCUCUGGAAACUGUACGGCUGGAGUGCAGGAGAGGUAAGUGGAAUUCCUAGUGUAGCGGUGAAAUGCGUAGAUAUUAGGAGGAACACCAGUGGCGAAGGCGGCUUACUGGACUGUAACUGACGUUGAGGCUCGAAAGCGUGGGGAGCAAACAGGAUUAGAUACCCCUGUAGUC
rnacentral:rRNA from 1 species